UACGUAGGGUGCAAGCGUUGUCCGGAAUUAUUGGGCGUAAAGAGCUUGUAGGCGGUUUGUCGCGUCUGCUGUGAAGAUUUCGGGGCUCAACCCCGAACUUGCAGUAGGUACGGGCAGACUAGAGUGUGGUAGGGGAGACUGGAAUUCCUGGUGUAGCGGUGAAAUGCGCAGAUAUCGGGAGGAACACCAGUAGCGAAGGCGGCUCGCUGGGCCAUUCCUGACGCUCGGACACGACAGCAUGGGGAGCGAACGGG
rnacentral:rRNA from 1 species